CCUACGGGUGGCAGCAGUGAGGAAUAUUGGUCAAUGGGCGGAAGCCUGAACCAGCCAAGUCGCGUGAGGGAUUAAGGCCCUGCGGGUCGUAAACCUCUUUUGCCGGGGAGCAGUGGUCCGGACGAGUCCGGGCCGGGAGAGUACCCGGAGAAAAAGCAUCGGCUAACUCCGUGCCAGCAGCCGCGGUAAUACGGAGGAUGCGAGCGUUAUCCGUAUUUAUUGGGUUUAAAGGGUGCGUAGGCGGGCAUUUAAGCCGGCGGUCAAAUGUCGGGGCUCAACCCCGGCCUGCCGUCGGAACUGGGUGCCUUGAGUGGGCGAGAAGUAUGCGGAAUGCGUGGUGUAGCGGUGAAAUGCAUAGAUAUCACGCAGAACCCCGAUUGCGAAGGCAGCAUACCGGCGCCCGACUGACGCUGAGGCACGAAAGUGCGGGUAUCGAACAGGAUUAGAUACCCCGGUAGUC
rnacentral:rRNA from 1 species